AUUUUGUUUAUGGCCAGUUUUGGGGCCAGUUUAUGGCCAGAUUUUGGGGGGCCUGUUCCCAACAGUGACAGAGUGGGAGAAUGUGAUUAGUGAGUAGUUCUUUCCACCAACUUGAAGAGUCCCAUCAAUGUCCUGCUCUGAGGGAUGGAGGAAGGUGGGAAGAGUCUGUGAAAAAAGAACAGCAGGAAUUCAGGGUGAAGAAGAUGUGGACUGUGUCUCCAAUAUCUGGUUUGCACAAAAGAGAGCUGGCACCAUCUAAUUUUUGUGUGGAAAUCCGAAGAUGUCCUAAGGGCAUGUGAGUAUAUGUCAGUCAGAGUCAGGUCAGAAAAACAGAAACAGCAUUUCGAUAGGGAAUUGAUUAACUGGGCACUGGAGAACUGGACUUUUAACAAAAAUACAUGGAGGUAACACAGACAUAGUAACUUUAGGGAGAAGCUAACUCCCUAUGGAUGGGGA
rnacentral:lncRNA from 1 species